GAGAGAGAGUGUGAGAUUGCCACAACAGGUUUCCAUAGACUGCUAGAGAGAGAGAGAGGGAGACGGAGAGAUGAGAGAAUUGAAGAUCAGAUAAUGAAAGAACAGUGACCAGUGAAUGGAGAGAAGAGAGAGAAGAUAAAUAAUAACAGAAAAUAUGCAAAACAAGACUAAGACAAAAAACGACGAGAGAGAGAGAGAGAGGAGCCAGAGCACGUUGUUCGGAGUGUUCUGAGCAGACACUGUCUGGACCAUGUGCACAGAGGAAAGACUGGUGACAAGGAAAAGAGCUGCCACUGAGAGAGAGGAAGAAGAANNNNNNNNNNCUCCACAUAGGGGCAGUGUUUAACUGUUUCCCUCCCCAUAGGGGCAGUGUUGAACUGUUUCCCUCCCCAUAGGGGCAGUGUUGAACUGUUUCCCUCCACAUAGGGGCAUUGUUUAACUGUUUCCCUCCCCAUAGAGGCAGUGUUUAACUGUUUCCCUCCACAUAGGGGCAGUGUUUAACUGUUUCCCUCCACAUAGGGGCAGUGUUUAACUGUUUCCCUC
rnacentral:lncRNA from 13 species